rnacentral:lncRNA from 1 species
CAUUAACACACUUUUUGCACUUGCAAUAUCUGGGAGUAAAAUGACUCAAAAUGUUGCUGGUGCAGUAUCACAAUGCGUGUUGAGCGGUGCUUGAGUCACCUAGCAAGAAGAAUGAGUCCCCAGACGAGCAGCUGCAGCUCAAUGAACACAACCGAAGACAAAUCAGAAGUGACAUCCUGGCUGAGCUCUGGAUCAAAGGAAACUACUCCAUCCUCAGCCGGAGCCCAAGGGGAAGAUGGUGACAGGUGAUGUCAGCAAACUGCAGCCUGGCAUCCAGUUGGGUCCCCCGGGAUCUCCUGUGUUGAGCCACCUGGAUGUGUGUUUGAGUUCAUUGAAAGAACAGAAGUCCCACCACCAUAGUACCACAAACUCAACUGAGCUCUACAAAUAGAAGAGAAAGCAGCACACAUUCCUGAGGUGUGAAGUGUGAGAUAAGCAGUUUUGUUCUCAGCUGUGUCAUACAGUGGGUGUCCCUAUAAAAAUGCCAAACCACCAUUUAUGUGUCCUGUAAUGACUUUAAUCAGUCUGAACAUAUUUUGCCA